rnacentral:rRNA from 1 species
GACGAACGCUGGCGGCGUGCCUAAUACAUGCAAGUUGAGCGCUGAAGGUUGGUACUUGUACCAACUGGAUGAGCAGCGAACGGGUGAGUAACGCGUGGGGAAUCUGCCUUUGAGCGGGGGACAACAUUUGGAAACGAAUGCUAAUACCGCAUAAAAACUUUAAACACAAGUUUUAAGUUUGAAAGAUGCAAUUGCAUCACUCAAAGAUGAUCCCGCGUUGUAUUAGCUAGUUGGUGAGGUAAAGGCUCACCAAGGCGAUGAUACAUAGCCGACCUGAGAGGGUGGUCGGCCACAUUGGGACUGAGACACGGCCCAAACUCCUACGGGAGGCAGCAGUAGGGAAUCUUCGGCAAUGCACGAAAGUCUGACCGAGCAACGCCGCGUGAGUGAAGAAGGUUUUCGGAUCGUAAAACUCUGUUGGUAGAGAAGAACGUUGGUGAGAGUGGAAAGCUCAUCAAGUGACGGUAACUACCCAGAAAGGGACGGCUAACUACGUG